UGCAAGUUGAGCGCUGAAGGUUGGUACUUGUACCGACUGGAUGAGCAGCGAACGGGUGAGUAACGCGUGGGGAAUCUGCCUUUGAGCGGGGGACAACAUUUGGAAACGAAUGCUAAUACCGCAUAAAAACUUUAAACACAAGUUUUAAGUUUGAAAGAUGCAAUUGCAUCACUCAAAGAUGAUCCCGCGUUGUAUUAGCUAGUUGGUGAGGUAAAGGCUCACCAAGGCGAUGAUACAUAGCCGACCUGAGAGGGUGAUCGGCCACAUUGGGACUGAGACACGGCCCAAACUCCUACGGGAGGCAGCAGUAGGGAAUCUUCGGCAAUGGACGAAAGUCUGACCGAGCAACGCCGCGUGAGUGAAGAAGGUUUUCGGAUCGUAAAACUCUGUUGGUAGAGAAGAACGUUGGUGAGAGUGGAAAGCUCAUCAAGUGACGGUAA
rnacentral:rRNA from 1 species